GGCGAACGCUGGCGGCGUGCUUAACACAUGCAAGUCGAACGAGGAAGGAGAGCUUGCUCUCCGGAUUAGUGGCGAACGGGUGAGUAACACGUGACUAACCUGCCCCUUUCUCUGGGAUAACGCUCCGAAAGGAGUGCUAAUACCGGAUACGAACUCUGAACACAUGUUCGGAGUUGGAAAGAUUUUCGGAAAGGGAUGGAGUCGCGGCCUAUCAGCUUGUUGGUGAGGUAAUGGCUCACCAAGGCGACGACGGGUAGCCGGCCUGAGAGGGCGACCGGCCACACUGGGACUGAGACACGGCCCAGACUCCUACGGGAGGCAGCAGUGGGGAAUAUUGCACAAUGGGCGAAAGCCUGAUGCAGCGACGCCGCGUGAGGGAUGAAGGUCUUCGGAUUGUAAACCUCUUUCGGUAGGGACGAAGCGAAAGUGACGGUACCUAAAGAAGAAGCACCGGCUAACUACGUGCCAGCCGCCGCGGUAA
rnacentral:rRNA from 1 species